rnacentral:rRNA from 1 species
AAUCAACGCUGGCGGCGUGCCUCAGACAUGCAAGUCGAACGCGAAAUUUCCCUUCGGGGAGAAAGUAGAGUGGCGCACGGGUGAGUAACACGUGGGUAAUUUACCUUCGGGUGGGGAAUAACAGUCGGAAACGACUGCUAAUACCGCAUGAUGCAGCGGCACCACAUGGUGACAGUUGUUAAAGCGGGGGAUCGCAAGACCUCGCGCCUGAAGAGAAGCCCGCGGCAGAUUAGCUAGUUGGUAAGGUAAUGGCUUACCAAGGCAACGAUCUGUAGCCGGCCUGAGAGGGCGGUCGGCCACACUGACACUGAAUAACGGGUCAGACUCCUACGGGAGGCAGCAGUCGGGAAUUUUGGGCAAUGGGCGCAAGCCUGACCCAGCAACGCCGCGUGAAGGAUGAAGUAUUUCGGUAUGUAAACUUCACAAGAAU